rnacentral:rRNA from 1 species
UACGAAGGGGGCUAGCGUUGUUCGGAAUUACUGGGCGUAAAGGGCGCGUAGGCGGUCCUUCAAGUCAGGCGUGAAAGCCCCGGGCUCAACCUGGGAACCGCGCUUGAGACUGGGGAACUAGAGUUCGGGAGAGGAUGGUGGAAUUCCCAGUGUAGAGGUGAAAUUCGUAGAUAUUGGGAAGAACACCGAUGGCGAAGGCAGCCAUCUGGACCGACACUGACGCUGAGGCGCGAAAGCGUGGGGAGCAAACAGG